rnacentral:rRNA from 1 species
GUGGGGAAUAUUGGACAAUGGGCGAAAGCCUGAUCCAGCAAUGCCGCGUGAGUGAUGAAGGCCUUAGGGUUGUAAAGCUCUUUUACCAGGGAUGAUAAUGACAGUACCUGGAGAAUAAGCUCCGGCUAACUCCGUGCCAGCAGCCGCGGUAAUACGGAGGGAGCUAGCGUUGUUCGGAAUUACUGGGCGUAAAGCGCGCGUAGGCGGCUCAGCAAGUCAGGGGUGAAAUCCCGGGGCUCAACCCCGGAACUGCCUUUGAAACUGCUAGGCUAGAAUCCUGGAGAGGCGAGUGGAAUUCCGAGUGUAGAGGUGAAAUUCGUAGAUAUUCGGAAGAACACCAGUGGCGAAGGCGACUCGCUGGACAGGUAUUGACGCUGAGGUGCGAAAGCGUGGGGAGCAAACAGGAUUAGAAACCCCGGUAGUCC